GCCCUCGUAGAUCAGUGGUAGAUCCUCCACAGUUGUUAGAGAAGUGUGAAUUCAAUAUAUGGACGACGUGGGUUCGACUCCCGCCGAGGGUG